rnacentral:rRNA from 1 species
GUUGAACGCUGGCGGAAUGCUUUACACAUGCAAGUCGAGCGGCAGCGCGGGGCAACCUGGCGGCGAGCGGCGAACGGGUGAGUAAUGCAUCGGAACAUGUCCAUGGAUGGGGGAUAGCCCGGCGAAAGCCGGAUUAAUACCGCAUGAGCCCGAGAGGGGAAAGUGGGGGACCGCAAGGCCUCACGUCGAUGGGUUGGCCGAUGCCCGAUUGGCUAGUUGGUGAGGUAAUGGCUCACCAAGGCGAUGAUCGGUAGCUGGUCUGAGAGGAUGAUCAGCCACACUGGGACUGAGACACGGCCCAGACUCCUACGGGAGGCAGCAGUGGGGAAUUUUGGACAAUGGGGGCAACCCUGAUCCAGCCAUUCCGCGUGAGUGAAGAAGGCCUUCGGGUUGUAAAGCUCUUUUGUCCGGAGCGAAACGGGGCGCGUGAAUAUCGCGCUCUACUGACGGUACCGGAAGAAUAAGCACCGGCUAACUACGUGCCAGCCGCCGCAGUAA